rnacentral:rRNA from 1 species
AACGAACGCUGGCGGCAGGCUUAACACAUGCAAGUCGAGCGCCCCGCAAGGGGAGCGGCAGACGGGUGAGUAACGCGUGGGAAUCUACCCAUCACUACGGAACAACUCCGGGAAACUGGAGCUAAUACCGUAUACGUCCUUCGGGAGAAAGAUUUAUCGGUGAUGGAUGAGCCCGCGUUGGAUUAGCUAGUUGGUGGGGUAAUGGCCUACCAAGGCGACGAUCUAUAGCUGGUCUGAGAGGAUGAUCAGCCACACUGGGACUGAGACACGGCCCAGACUCCUACGGGAGGCAGCAGUGGGGAAUAUUGGACAAUGGGCGAAAGCCUGAUCCAGCCAUGCCGCGUGAGUGAUGACGGCCCUAGGGUUGUAAAGCUCUUUCGCAGGUGAAGAUAAUGACGGUAACCUGAGAAGAAGCCCCGGCUAACUUCGUGCCAGCCGCCGCGGUAA